rnacentral:lncRNA from 1 species
CUCGCUUUAGAAGCUCACGGGAAUACACAUAAUCAGGCAGUACAAGGUGACAUGGGAUGGACAUCAUUUGAGGGCAGGGAAGCUAACAGCAAGAUGAAUUUUGAGAAGCGAUUGAGAGAAAUGGGGGAGGAGCAUUGAACUAGGAAGGUUUUCAGGUACUUGUACAAGAGAAAUGUCGAUACCAAAUCCAGGAAGAGAACCAGAAAAUUGACGGGUAAGUACUUAGAAAAGUGCAGGGGGCCAAAUCAAAAAGAAGUAUCGGUUAAGAAGAAGGUGUAGGAAACGGAGACCGGCAUGUGGAGAACUGGCAUGAUUAAAAAGUUCGCACAUCUAUCGAACUCCUAAGCAGGAUACUGUCAAGGAGGAUCUACGAUAAUACUCGGGGUAGUUCUCUACUGUUUGAGGCCAGGACCAGGACUUAUCGGGCCAAAGACGAAGAGGUAGACACGGUAUGCAGUGCGUGUAGAGAGGAAAAAGAAACUGCCGAACACCUGAUAAUGUUCUGUAAAGAGCGCGCAGAGUUUUGCAAAGCACUGGGGUUCAAGGACAGCCGGGGCAAAAUAGACUUUAGACGGGUAGAAAUACGUAGAAGGAGGGAAAUACGUUGCUCUUGGCGCGAGCCUCUCCGCGUUGUUUUCUGUCACAAGCAGUUUCGUAACAUGAACGCUGAGGUUCCACGCUCGUUAUGCGUUGCUGUGGGUCUUCCUACUUUCCGUACGUCUUUAGAAGUUGUCUUAUGUUAAUGCCUUGAAUGGUGCUCCACCGUUCAGUGAUGUCGGUUCUACUUCUAUGAGCUCUAACAGACCUCGUUGACGGAAGAGGAGAACGCUCAUUACGAGUCCAUGACGAAUCGUUACAAGGAAAAGCAAGUGGGAUCCUUGGAGAACAACUUCACGUCUGAUAGGCGUACCAUUGCAUGGCAGAGAUGGCAGAGAAGGUCACGACGAGUUCCUGGAUGCCUAUCGGACAUUCUUCAGCGAGCAGACUCCGCUGGUGGAUUCCUUCAGUGAGGUAUACCGUAAAGCAGUCAAGUACCUUCACGAGGAGGCGAUUUAUCACUGCACUAUAGUGGCCCGGCGUUGUCUGGUUUGGCCCGGCGACAAAAUAUCUUCAGGCGAAGACACUCACGGGAUCCCUAUCACGGGUUUCGAGCUGGCUACGCCUGACUGCCGGGCUGUUGUGUGAGACCUGAUGGCCCAUUUCCGACCCUCCCCGGACGGCCUAGCUCUGCCACCGUUCUUCUGUAUGCCAAACAACAUGCCCCAGGCCGACGGCUACCUGCGGUGGCUCGUAAUGCAUGGAGAUUGAGGGGUGGAGGUGGAAGAAGUCUCGACUAGAUUUGUUUUCAUUGUAAUUGUGAUAUUCAUAUAUUUAUAAAGGGUGCAAUAAAUUCUGUUAGUUUUGAAAAUUGGAGAGUGAUCAAUUCCAACAUCGCAUGCCGCUUUGAGUCCUUGAAAAAGUUGCAACAGGUACUGGAAAGUCUUUGAAUAUGCUUGAAUUUUCGGUUUGGAAACCUGUACGAAUGCUAGACCGAAUUCAUUGCAACGUGAUGUGGUUAUCUUGAGCUGCUGAGCAUACCAGCAGUGACUAAUAUGUCUUUUUUGAAUUAUGAGCACUGUACAUACUUGGCUGUGUUCAGAUUGCGGCUUUCUAAAGGGAAACUGAAGAGGCCAGGAAAAUGGUCUACUAGGUCAAGCAUGAAUGUGUUGUAUUGUGCUCUAUUGUAAUUUUGAAUAUACGAAUGCAAGUCAACCCAUAUAUUGCGAGAAAAAAAAAAGAACUUGACUCAUGUCUGUUUUCAAGAAACAUGGCGUAAGUGCUAUAAUAAGCAUGGUCAAGACCCAUUGUACGUGCCGGUUUUUUUGGCAAGGGAAGGCACGGCCUUUGCGAUGAGAAUUCUCAACUGUUGGCAGCAAUGAAAUCUGGUAUAGCGAGCAUGGUUCUGCGGUUGAUGCAGUAUUUAUUUUCUUGGCUAUAUCACUCAAAAUCAGAUCUUGACUAAGGGUUCCGGUGUGUGGAGCUUGAACGGCCGAGCUGCAGCAUUCUAGGUUGUCGGUGUACAUUUUUUCUAGAGUUGCUUUUAAUUUUGGUGGUGUGUCGAUGUACUGCAACUGUACGUGUUUAAAGUACCUGUGUAGCUGGUGCGAAAGUAGAGCUCCAUUAUCUCGAUGCAUUCACUAGCUUUGAUCAAGCUCUUCUGGUUUCAGAGAGAGGUCGAAAGCUAAGUUUAGGUGGCAUUUCCAAAAAAAGAAGCAGUUUUGCUGUUAGGGCGAAGCAACUAAUGUGAUAGCAAGCAAUCCGAAUAUCACACGGAUAACUACAAGCACCUCGAUUACUUCAGCAUGCCUCUGCAGCGCAAAGGAGGAUGCUUGAAAAGAACGCGUAGGUAUACUCGGGACACGUGCCGCUGUGUGUCGCCACCAGCGCUAGGAUCUUUUGCUGCCAUUUUAGAUCGAAGGUUUUUCUUUUUUUUUAUGUUGGACAAUCAUUGGAGCAUAGAGGUUGUUUUGUUUUCACUUGUCCUCAUCGGGCGAAUAAGAACAGUGAAAAUGGAGGAAAGGGUGGAGGUAUAUUUCUUAUCUCCCGAAAAGCGGACCGGGCUGCAUGCUCGAGUAAGUGCACUUGCUCGGAUGUUUUACGAUCGUGUCGCAAAAUAGCAACAUGUCAUGCCACUGCCAUGUAUGUGUGUUCAAUCCUGCCAUGCAGGGGUCGUGUCUAAGUUUUUGCACCAUUGUUACACAUCUGCCUUCGAAAACAUAUUGUGACCAGUAGAAAAACAAAUUACAUUGAACAUCUAAGUCAUUAUAUGUUAUGUCAUCUGAAAACUGUUCUUGCUCAAGCUCGCAUUUUUAAACAAUAAUUGUCCAAUUAUUGUGUUGCAAAAUACAGUAGAUUUGUAAUCAUUCAAACGAUAAUUCAUACUUUUGGGCAAUUCAAAUAAAAUUUAAUUUUUUCGUG